rnacentral:tRNA from 1 species
GGGCCCAUAGCUCAGCAUGGCAGAGCACCUGGCUUUUAACCAGUGGGUCGAGGGUUCAAAUCCCUCUGGGCUCA